GGGGCCAUAGCUUAGCUGGCUUAAAGCGCCUCCCUGUCACGGAGGAGAUCGAGGGUUCGAAACCCUUUGGCCCCG
rnacentral:tRNA from 1 species